CAGUCGCCGCGGUAAAACGGAGGGUGCAAGCGUUAAUCGGAAUUACUGGGCGUAAAGCGCACGCAGGCGGUCUGACAAGUCAGAUGUGAAAUCCCCGGGCUUAACCUGGGAACUGCAUUUGAAACUGUCAGGCUGGAGUCUUGUAGAGGGGGGUAGAAUUCCAGGUGUAGCGGUGAAAUGCGUAGAGAUCCGGAGGAAUACCGGUGGCGAAGGCGGCCCCCUGGACAAAGACUGACGCUCAGGUGCGAAAGCGUGGGGAGCAAACAGGAUUAGAUACCCGAGUAGUCCCUGUCUCUUAUAC
rnacentral:rRNA from 1 species